rnacentral:lncRNA from 1 species
CGAGGCCCCCCAGGUCGGGUUUUGGGGUGAUUUUCGGCAGUUUUUAGGGCGAUUUUGGAUCUGUUUUGGGGUCGUUUUUGGGGCUAUUUCAGGUCAUUUUUGGCUGAUUUCGGGUCAGUUUUCGGGGCGAUUUCGGGCAGGUUUUCGGGUGAUUUUGGGUCAGUUUUGGGGUCGUUUUUGGGGUGCUUUCGGGGUCAAGUUUUUGGGGUGAUUUCGGGUCAGUUUUCGGGUCGUUUUUGGGCAAUUUUGGGUCAGUUUUUGGGGCGAUUUCGGGUCAGUUUUCGGGUCAUUUUUGGGGCGAUUUUGGGUCAGUUUUUGGGGCGAUUUCGGGGUCAAGUUUUUGGGGUGAUUUUGGGUCAGUUUUCGGGUCGUUUUUGGGUAAUUUUGGGUCAGUUUUUGGGGCGAUUUCGGGUCAGUUUUCGGGUCAUUUUUGGGGCGAUUUCGGCAGUUUUUGGGGCGAUUUUGGGUCAGUUUUGGGUCGUUUUUGGGCAAUUUCGGGUCAGUUUUCGAGUCGUUUUUGGGGUGAUUUUGGGUACGUUUUUGGGGCGAUUUCGGGUCAGUUUUUGGGGUGAUUUCGGGUCAGUUUUGGGUCGUUUUUGGGCAAUUUCGGGUCAGUUUUGGGUCGUUUUUGGGCAAUUUCGGGUCAGUUUUUGGGGCGAUUUCGGGUCAGUUUUUGGGGCGAUUUCGGGUCAGUUUUGGGUCGUUUUUGGGCAAUUUCGGGUCAGUUUUUGGGGCGAUUUCGGGUCAGUUUUGGGUCGUUUUUGGGCAAUUUCGGGUCAGUUUUUGGGGCGAUUUCGGGUCAGUUUUCAGGUCGUUUUUGGGCAAUUUCGGGUCAGUUUUUGGGGCGAUUUCGGGUCAGUUUUCGGGUAGUUUUUGGGCAAUUUCGGGUCAGUUUUUGGGCAAUUUCGGGUCAGUUUUUGGGACGAUUUCGGGUCAGUUUUGGGUCGUUUUUGGGCAAUUUCGGGUCCGUUUUGGGUCGUUUUUGGGGUGCUUUCUGGGGUUUCGGGGCUCACCUGUUCGCGGGCGCGGGCGCAGAACGCCAUGUCGGGGUCCAGGUGGGCGUGGUCGAACACCGGCCCCUCCCCCAGCGGCCCCCGCAGCGCGGCCCCGCCCACCAGGUAGGCGUGGCUGACGUACGGCACGUUCCACAC